rnacentral:misc_RNA from 1 species
GUACAAAUUAUCAGACCUAAAUUGAAACAAAGAAGCAAGAAGAGCCCUAGCAAACAAAUUAGCAGCGCGUUCGUAGAUCUUAAAAAAAUAAAAACAAAACAACAGUAGCAAAUCAAAGAGUGGAAUCAAACAAGUUAUACAGAAAUAAUUCAUGAAUGUUGCUGAAAUUAGAGAGAGUAAUCAAACACAAACGAUGAGAAUAGGAAGAUUAGGAAAAUGCACCUCCAGUUUUCGCACCGCGUGUG